AUGUCGACCAUGUCCUGCUCGUCCAACUUAUCCAUGUACGCCCGCUCUCUCCCCAGCCUGAGCGUGCCGCCUCCCCGCCUGCUCCUCCAGCAACGACCUCCGGCAGCCAGCUGCGCUGCGUACAGCUAUCGGCCACGACGCCCAUCACACGUCACGUCGGCGGUCUCGACAGAUGAAGCGCCGCCAGCGAAUAAGGAGAAGAAGGCGGCAUCCUUCGUCGGAGAUAUGGAGCGCGGCACCCUUGCGGAGGAGUCCGGCCGGUCCGACGGGGAGCUGACGUCGCGGUGGCGGGAGAUCCACGGCUGCAACGACUGGCAGGGCCUUCUGGACCCCAUCGACAAGACGCUCCGCGGGGAGCUGAUCCGGUACGGCGAGUUCGCGCAGGCGUGCUACGACUCCUUCGACUACGACCGCUACACCCGCUACGCCUGCAGAUACCCGAAGGAGUCCUUCUUCUCCGACGUCGGCCUUGCCGGCGUCGGCUACGAGGUCACUUGCUGCCUCUAUGCUACCUCACACAUUAGCUUCCCAAGCUUCGGCAUCCGGAAGCACAACCCUAGCGACGACAGGAUGUGGAGCGAGACUGGCACCUUCAUCGGCUUUGUGGCCGUGUCGACAGACGAGGAGACGGCCCGGAUCGGCCGCCGGGAUAUCGCCGUUGCUUGGCGCGGCACCGUGACACGGCUGGAGUGGAUCGCCGACCUGACCGCGUUCCUCAAGCCGCUCAGCCAGUUUGGGCUGCCGUGCAGAGACCCGAGGGUAAAGGUGGAAGAGGGGUUCGCCGAACUCUACACCAGCAAAAACCCGGACUGCAAGUAUUGCAAGUACUCGGCGCGGGAGCAGGUGCUCGCCGAGGUGCGGAAGCUGGUGGAGCGGUACGCCGGGCAGGGUGAGGAGGUGAGCGUGACGGUCACCGACCACAGCCUCGGCAGCGCGCUGGCCAUGAUAAACGCCUUCGACAUCGCCGAGACGGGCGCCAACGUGUCCCCAUCGGCCGGCGGCGCCAAGGCGCUGGUGUGCGUCUUCUCCUUCUCAGGCCCGCGCGUGGGGAACACCAAGUUCAGAGAGCGGUUCGAGGGGGAGCUGGGCGUGAAGGCGCUGCGCAUCCUCAACGUGCAUGACACGGUGCCCAAGGUGCCCGGCGUGUUCACCGAGGCGGUCCUCCCGAUGCCGCUGCUGCGCGCCGCAGACGCGCUGGGGCUGCCAAGCGUGUACUCCCACAUCGGCGUGGAACUGGCGCUCGACCACAGCCUGUCGCCCUUCCUCAAGAACACAUUGGACCUGGCUAACUACCACAACCUUGAGGCGCACCUCCACCUUCUGGACGGCUUUGCGGCGGACUUCCUGAGGGACGAGCACAUGGUGCCGCCCGGGUGGCGGCAGGAUGCAAACAAGGGCAUGGUCAGGUCAGAGGAUGGGAGGUGGGUGCUACCGCAUCGCCCGAGGCACGUCGAGGACCACCCGGAUGACACCGAUGUCCACCUCGCGCAGCUUGGCCUCGUGCCCGCCAGUUGA
rnacentral:rRNA from 1 species